rnacentral:lncRNA from 1 species
AGCUCUCUGACUUUCUGCAUUUGGUGUCAAAAUGCAAGUCCCUGUGCUUUGAUUGAUUGAAAUGCAAACCCUAGCUUGGGUGCUGGAUUAGCUGUAUAUCUGAUUUAAAUUCGCACUAAUCCUCUCCUGGGAUUUCUUCUUUUCCUGGGCACUAAUUUGGUAAGGAUGACAAGUGGGCUUAAUUAUUUCCUGUCUAAGGAGACUCUAGGAUAUGUACCUGUAUUAAGUAAAAGAGAAUGGCUUUGUAUUUAACCUCUUUAAAGGAGCAAAUGAAUGCGUAAUGUCAACAUUUUUGACACCAAAAUUUCAUCUGAGGAAUAGAAUAGAAUAUAACACAUUUUCAUGGCUUCACGUAGUGAUGGCAUAAAUUAAGCUGACUAGUAACCUAAGUCUAAAAUGAAGGUAAUUAUGAAAAUGGCCUGUGCUCUCAGUUACUCAGGAGGCAUAGGUGGGAGGACUGCCUGAGCCCAGGAAGUCAAGGCUGCAGUGAGCUGGGAAGGCACCAGCACACUCUAGCCUGGGCAACAGCGUGAGACCCUGUUUCAAAAAUAUAUAUAUUAUAAUUUAUACAUGAUAUAAUAAUAUAUAUAAUAUAUAAAAAUAUAUAAU